GACGAACGCUGGCGGCGUGCUUAACACAUGCCAGUCGAACGGAAAGGCCUGCUUUCCCUUGUGGAUUGCGGGUACUCGAGUGGCGAACGGGUGAGUAACACGUGAGUGAUCUGCCCCCAACUUGGGUAUAAGCCUGGGAAACUGUGUCUAAUUCCCGAUAGGACUGCAGGGUGGUGCCUGUGGUGGAAACCGAUUUUCUAGUGGUUGGGGAUGAGCUCGCGGCCUAUCAGCUUGUUGGUGGGGUACUGGCCUACCAAGGCGGCGACGGGUAGCCGGCCUGGGAGGGUGGACGGCAGAAUUGGGACAGGGAUCCGACCCAGACUGGAGCGGGCGGCAGGAGAGGGGAGUAUAGGGCAGUGAGCGGGAGCCUGAUGCAGCGAGGCGGCGUGGGGGAUGACGGCCUUCGGGUUGUAAGCUCCUUUGGACGGAGAGGAAGCGACCUGGUUGGAAGGGUGGUGACGGUAGUGAUAGAAGAAGCACCGGCUAACUACGUG
rnacentral:rRNA from 1 species